rnacentral:rRNA from 1 species
UACGAAGGGGGCUAGCGUUGCUCGGAAUCACUGGGCGUAAAGCGCACGUAGGCGGGUCGUUAAGUCGGGGGUGAAAUCCUGGAGCUCAACUCCAGAACUGCCUUCGAUACUGGCGAUCUUGAGUCUGGGAGAGGUGAGUGGAACUCCGAGUGUAGAGGUGAAAUUCGUAGAUAUUCGGAAGAACACCAGUGGCGAAGGCGGCUCACUGGCCCGGUACUGACGCUGAGGUGCGGAAAGCGUGGGGAGCAAACAGGAUUAGAUACCC